UGAUGCAAUUUUCUUUGAGUCGCAGUUGAUUUUAAGCUCCCUCUAUAAAGGCAGCUUAGUCACAUUCCAAGAUGGAGGACACUGUCAGUGUGGAGUAAAAUGCUACGUUCAUAGUUGUUUAUUGUCACAUCCUUAAAAUAUGGACAAGGUCAAUGAAAGAUGAUGAAGCCUUGACCAGUUAAGAGUGUGGGAUUAAUAUGAAGCAGGUAUGGUCAUUUUAAAGUAAACUUAAAUUAUUAUCUAUGCAAGAGGGGCAUAGAGACAACUAUUUACUAGAGACAUAGCUCUUUUUCUUGUAUUUAGGAAUGAGGUUUAUCUUACUAUUAGUCUAUUAAAGCUUAACUUGGAGCUAUCCUAAGAUAGUCAUAAGCGAGUGAUAAAACUCUGUUACUGAUCAAAAAUUUCAGUUAAUCCAGUAACACAUGACACCCGUAAACAGAAAGAAAAAUCACAGGGGCUUUAUUUUUUCUAACAUUUGCUUUGUACUUCCCUGAAUGGAGGCAUGAUGGCUGAUCCAAUCGUUAUCCACUGAUGACGGUUUUGAUGGCUACCUAUGUGAGUAUGGAGGACACAUGCUGCUGUUAGUAAUUGUGUUAAGUUCUUAAGUCUAAUAUCAAGGAUUUUGUUAGUAAAUUUUGAUUUUAUUAUGUAAACAAGUAGAAAAGAAGAUUGAAGCAUUGUUCAACUGUGAAUAAAUGUGAGUAGGCAAGAAACACUACUAAUAGAAAUGGAAGACACUAAAGUCUCAAGAAAUAUGUGGAUCAAGCAUGUUACUUCUUUGUUUCAGGGUCUUAAGACACUGCAUAUAAGGAAUAGUCAAUGUUAUUGACUGGUCUGCUUUGUACUCCUCAGAAUGAACAGCCCCAUCUGAUUUCAGCACUGUGCCAUGACCAUGAACUCUACGGUUACCUCUGUGUGUCACAGGAAGACUCUUAAUGAAUGCUUCCAAGUUGACUUAAGCAGUGUUCCAUGGUCACCAGGUGUCUGGUUGCCUCUGUGUGUUAGAAGCUUGGAGACCAGUGUGAGCCUGGACACUAACGCAGAAUGGGUGCAUUUGAAAUGAUUACGCUUGCCCUGUGUAUUUGGCCCACUGAAACCAAUAAUGGGCAGACCCACGCCUUCUGCUGUGAUUGCUCUCUGUGGUUGCCUCCGGGUGGGAGCCUGGACACUAACGGAGGAUGGCACUGGACCUGAUGUAACGAUUCUUUGGUAGUCGCAGAUAUACAGUUGCCUCUGUAUGUUUGGCACGUGAAAACCAAUCUUCUCAGAGUGGGCACACCAGAACAUGCUUAAGCAUCCUGCCAUGUUCACAAGCUCCAUGGUUGCCUCUAUGUGUAUGAGCCUGUGUAUGAGCCUCAGUCCUCUAAUGGAUGUGCUGAGCUGACUCAAGCAUUCUUCCUUAAUCACGAUUAAGUAUCCUCCAUAUGAGAGAGACCAAUGAUGGACACUUCUGAGCUGGCAGAACAUCUGGCCUUGGUCUGGAGCCAUAUGUCUGCUCCUCUGUAGACGUGCACAUGGGCAGUAAUGGAUGCAGUGAGCUGAUCAUUUUGCUGUGAUGAAGGCUAUGUUGCCUCUAUGUUACGCCAAUAAUGGACGUGCCUUCACUGACCUACGUGUUUGCAAGUUCCAUGGCUGCCCCCCGUGUUUGGAGCAUGGAGACCGAUUGAGUUGAUGAAUUAAUCUAUCAAUAAAUGAAGAUAUGAAUAAAGAAAAAGAGCCCCAAGUCUGGACCAAAGAUGAAGUUUGGUGAUGUAUAAAUUAUGGACAAUAAACACCUGUGUUUGGGACUUUGAGGUCUAACAUGAAAACUAGUUUACUGCCUAUGAUGUAAUUGAUCCUAUAUACAUAUAUGAGGAAUAGCAACGAUCUGAUUGUGUUUCAUAGCUAUUGAUUGUAACUUCAUACGUUGAUUAGUGCACAAAUAACCAAAGAAAUGUAUGAAUACCUGAAGAAAAACGGAACCAAGAAUGGACUAAGUAUGUCCUCUGUAACAUUGCUCUUAUAUAGAAGCAAAUUCUUGGAUUUUACUAGUUUUAUUAAGAUUGGUAGGCAGAUAUUAAAAAUAGCAUUUCUGUUCCAGAUUUCUGAAAAUAAAAUAAUAAAUACCGAAAUGACUGAACAAAGGAAAUGGGGAAGGCAUGUAUCAUUGGAAAGAAUAUCUCAGCUGUUUAUUGUUUGCAUUGCUUAUCUUUCUCAGAGUGAAAGCUCCUAGCUGAUUUAAGCAUUCUGCUGUGGCCAUGAACUCCAUGUGCCGGGAGCAUAGAAACCAAUGUCAGAGUCAAAGCACUUGUCUUCGUAUGAGUGGCUUGUUAAACAAUAUUUACUGUAUUAUUUACACAAUGUGUUAAGUCAAAGAAGUUGACUAUGGCAUACUAUGGAAUUGAUAUGAAAUACAAGUUCACUAAUGGAUAUGUAUAACACAGAUUAAUUAAUGAAGGAUAUAGUUGUUGAGUAAAUUUACUCUGUAGACAGUUUUUAUGGAUACUUAAGAAUCUUCUAUGGAAUUUGUGACUCAGGUAAAUUUAUUUACUAUAAUUUAUUGAAAAACUAAUAAAUCAACAAAUAUAGGAAAAGAAUGUC